rnacentral:rRNA from 1 species
GAAUGCUGACAUAAGUAACGAUAAAGCGGGUGAAAAGCCCGCUCGCCGGAAGACCAAGGGUUCCUGUCCAACGUUAAUCGGGGCAGGGUGAGUCGACCCCUAAGGCGAGGCCGAAAGGCGUAGUCGAUGGGAAACAGGUUAAUAUUCCUGUACUUGGUGUUACUGCGAAGGGGGGACGGAGAAGGCUAUGUUGGCCGGGCGACGGUUGUCCCGGUUUAAGCGUGUAGGCUGGUUUUCCAGGCAAAUCCGGAAAAUCAAGGCUGAGGCGUGAUGACGAGGCACUACGGUGCUGAAGCGACAAAUGCCCUGCUUCCAGGAAAAGCCUCUAAGCAUCAGGUAACAUCAAAUCGUACCCCAAACCGACACAGGUGGUCAGGUAGAGAAUACCAAGGCGCUUGAGAGAACUCGGGUGAAGGAACUAGGCAAAAUGGUGCCGUAACUUCGGGAGAAGGCACGCUGAUAUGUAGGUGAAGCGACUUGCUCGUGGAGCUGAAAUCAGUCGAAGAUACCAGCUGGCUGCAACUGUUUAUUAAAAACACAGCACUGUGCAAACACGAAAGUGGACGUAUACGGUGUGACGCCUGCCCGGUGCCGGAAGGUUAAUUGAUGGGGUUAGCGGUAACGCGAAGCUCUUGAUCGAAGCCCCGGUAAACGGCGGCCGUAACUAUAACGGUCCUAAGGUAGCGAAAUUCCUUGUCGGGUAAGUUCCGACCUGCACGAAUGGCGUAAUGAUGGCCAGGCUGUCUCCACCCGAGACUCAGUGAAAUUGAACUCGCUGUGAAGAUGCAGUGUACCCGCGGCAAGACGGAAAGACCCCGUGAACCUUUACUAUAGCUUGACACUGAACAUUGAGCCUUGAUGUGUAGGAUAGGUGGGAGGCUUUGAAGUGUGGACGCCAGUCUGCAUGGAGCCGACCUUGAAAUACCACCCUUUAAUGUUUGAUGUUCUAACGUGGGCCCCUUACCGGGGUUGCGGACAGUGUCUGGUGGGUAGUUUGACUGGGGCGGUCUCCUCCUAAAGAGUAACGGAGGAGCACGAAGGUUGGCUAAUCCUGGUCGGACAUCAGGAGGUUAGUGCAAUGGCAUAAGCCAGCUUGACUGCGAGCGUGACGGCGCGAGCAGGUGCGAAAGCAGGUCAUAGUGAUCCGGUGGUUCUGAAUGGAAGGGCCAUCGCUCAACGGAUAAAAGGUACUCCGGGGAUAACAGGCUGAUACCGCCCAAGAGUUCAUAUCGACGGCGGUGUUUGGCACCUCGAUGUCGGCUCAUCACAUCCUGGGGCUGAAGUAGGUCCCAAGGGUAUGGCUGUUCGCCAUUUAAAGUGGUACGCGAGCUGGGUUUAGAACGUCGUGAGACAGUUCGGUCCCUAUCUGCCGUGGGCGCUGGAGAACUGAGGGGGGCUGCUCCUAGUACGAGAGGACCGGAGUGGACGCAUCACUGGUGUUCGGGUUGUCAUGCCAAUGGCACUGCCCGGUAGCUAAAUGCGGAAGAGAUAAGUGCUGAAAGCAUCUAAGCACGAAACUUGCCCCGAGAUGAGUUCUCCCUGACUCCUUGAGAGUCCUGAAGGAACGUUG